UUGUCUUUGUGCGAGCUUCUGCAGGUUCCUUUCACCAUUGAAGAUCCAGAUUACAAGGGGCUUGAGCUGGAUGUGAUGUCUCCAUGUGAGAAGCACGGCAUGGCAUCUGAGAGGCUUGUUGCCUUUGAAGGAACAGACACAGGCAGGAGGUUUUUAGCAUGUGCACAGCCGGAAGGUAGCAAUUGUGGCUUUGUUGAAUGGGUUGAUCACCAGUGGCCCCCAACAAUGCAGAAUGCAUUGUUGAAGCUAUGGGCAAUGGUUGAAGAUGCCAAAAGUGCUAGGGUGAAUGACAAUCUUGAGAAUUCUUUCACUAUCCACCAUCUGACAGAAGAGAAGAACAAGCUGGAGGCCAACUAUGACAAGCUAGUCGAAGAUGUGCAUGAGCUGAUGAACUUCCAGGAAGAUAAGGUGGUGGAUUUCAGGCAUCUGCAGUCUGCCAUUACAUAUCAGCAGGAGGUAAGAAAAGAACUGACUGAUGAUAUGAAGGCAAAGAUGGCAAAGAAAGAUGCAGAGACCCAGUAA
rnacentral:rRNA from 1 species